rnacentral:rRNA from 1 species
GACGAACGCUGGCGGCGUGCCUAAUACAUGCAAGUCGAGCGCAGGAAACUGACGGAACUCUUCGGAGGGAAGGCAGUGGAAUGAGCGGCGGACGGGUGAGUAACACGUAAGGAACCUGCCUCAAGGAUUGGGAUAACUCCGAGAAAUCGGAGCUAAUACCGGAUAGUUCAACGGACCGCAUGGUCCGCUGAUGAAAGGCGCUUCGGCGUCACCUUGAGAUGGCCUUGCGGUGCAUUUGCUAGUUGGUGGGGUAACGGCCCACCAAGGCGACGAUGCAUAGGCGACCUGAGAGGGUGAUCGGCCACGCUGGGACUGAGAAAAGGCCCAGACUCCGACGGGAGGCAGCAGUAGGGAAUCUUCCACAAUGGACGAAAGUCUGAUGGGGCAACGCCGCGUGAGUGAUGAAGGUUUUCGGAUCGUAAAACUCUGUUGUAAGGGAAGAACACGUACGAGAGGGAAUGCUCGUACCUUGACGGUACCUUACGAGAAAGCCACGGCUAACUACGUGCCAGCAGCCGCCGUAA